CCUACGGGAGGCAGCAGUGAGGAAUAUUGGUCAAUGGACGAGAGUCUGAACCAGCCAAGUAGCGUGUAGGAUGACUGCCCUAUGGGUUGUAAACUUCUUUUAUAUGGGAAUAAAAUGUUCCACGUGUGGGAUUUUGUAUGUACCAUAUGAAUAAGGAUCGGCUAACUCCGUUCCAGCAGCCGCGGUAAUACGGAGGAUCCGAGCGUUAUCCGGAUUGAUUGGGUUUAAAGGGAGCGUAGGUGGUGUGUUAAGUCAGUUGUGAAAGUUUGCGGCUCAACCGGAAAAUUGCAGUUGAUACUGGCAGGCUUGAGUACAGUAGAGGUGGGCGGAAUUCGUGGUGUAGCGGUGAAAUGCUUAGAGAUCACGAAGAACUCCGAUUGCGAAGGCAGUUCACUGGACUGCAACUGACACUGAGGCUCGAAAGUGUGGGUAGCAAACAGGAUUAGAUACCCCUGUAGUC
rnacentral:rRNA from 1 species